CCUACGGGUGGCAGCAGUGGGGAAUAUUGCACAAUGGGGGAAACCCUGAUGCAGCGACGCCGCGUGAGUGAAGAAGUAUUUCGGUAUGUAAAGCUCUAUCAGCAGGGAAGAAAAUGACGGUACCUGACUAAGAAGCCCCGGCUAACUACGUGCCAGCAGCCGCGGUAAUACGUAGGGGGCAAGCGUUAUCCGGAUUUACUGGGUGUAAAGGGAGCGUAGACGGCGGUGCAAGUCAGAAGUGAAAGCCCGGGGCUCAACCCCUGGACUGCUUUUGAAACUGUGUGGCUGGAGUGCAGGAGAGGUAAGUGGAAUUCCUAGGGUAGCGGUGAAAUGCGUAGAUAGUAGGAGGAACACCAGUGGCGAAGGCGGCUUACUGGACUGUAACUGACGUUGAGGCUCGAAAGCGUGGGGAGCAAACAGGAUUAGAUACCCUUGUAGUC
rnacentral:rRNA from 1 species